CAGCCGCCGCGGGAAUACGUAGGGUGCGGGCGUUAAUCAGAAUUACUGGGCGUAAAGCGUGCGCAGGCGGUUGUGUAAGACAGGUGUGAAAUCCCCGGGCUUAACCUGGGAACUGCGCUUGUGACUGCACAGCUAGAGUAUGGCAGAGGGGGGUGGAAUUCCACGUGUAGCAGUGAAAUGCGUAGAGAUGUGGAGGAACACCGAUGGCGAAGGCGGCCCCCUGGGCCAAUACUGACGCUCAUGCACGAAAGCGUGGGGAGCAAACAGGAUUAGAUACCCGCGUAGUCCCUGUCUCUUAUAC
rnacentral:rRNA from 1 species